UCCAGGUGCCUUCGGUGAACAUUCAACGCUGUCGGUGAGUUUGAGCUUCUAACAGAAACCAUCGACCGUUGACUGUACCCUGAGGCGU
rnacentral:pre_miRNA from 1 species